rnacentral:hammerhead_ribozyme from 1 species
CUCACGAGUCCCAAAUAGAACGAAACGCGCGUCCUGGAU